AUUGAACGCUGGCGGCAGGCUUAACACAUGCAAGUCGAGCGAGCGGCGGACGGGUGAGUAAUGUCUGGGAAACUGCCCGAUGGAGGGGGAUAACUACUGGAAACGGUAGCUAAUACCGCAUACUAUCCGAUGAGCCCAGAUGGGAUUAGCUAGUAGGUGGGGUAAUGGCUCACCUGGGCGACGAUCCCUCGCUGUGCUGAGAGGAUGACCAGCCACACGGGAACGGAGCCACGGUCCGGACUCCUACGGGAGGCAGCAGUGGGGAAUAUUGCACAAUGGGGGAAGGCCUGAUGCAGCCAUCCCGGGUGUGGGAAGAAGGCCUGCGGGUUGUAAAGCACUUUCAGCGGGGAGGCGUUACCCGCAGAAGAAGCACCGGCUAACUCCGUGCCAGCAGCCGCGGUAAUAC
rnacentral:rRNA from 1 species